rnacentral:tRNA from 9 species
GGGGGCGUGGCGGAAUGGUAGACGCUACGGACUUAAAAUCCGUUGACCGCAAGGUCGUAAGGGUUCAAGUCCCUUCGCCCCCA